rnacentral:rRNA from 1 species
CUGCGAGUGAAGCGGCAAAAGCUCAAAUUUGAAAUCUGACGUUCAUAUUGACGUUCGAGUUGUAAUUUGGAGGAGCGCCUUCGGGAACCGACGCCGUUCUAAGUUCUUUUGGAACUGGACAUCACAGAGGGUGAGAAUCCCGUGCCUGGGCGGCAGUCUGGUUCCCAUACGAAGCGUUUCCGACGAGUCGAGUUGUUUGGGAAUGCAGCUCAAAAUGGGUGGUAAAUUUCAUCUAAAGCUAAAUACAGGCGAGAGACCGAUAGCGCACAAGUAGAGUGAUCGAAAGAUGAAAAGCACUUUGAAAAGAGAGUUAAACAGUACGUGAAAUUGUUGAAAGGGAAGCGCUUGAGAUUGAACGAUCGGACAGGAUGGAGCUUGUAAGGGCUGGCGGUUUACGCCGGGUUCUUAUACAGCCCGCCAUCCUCCCUCCAACCACCAUCGGUUCCGGCGGCGAGAAAAACGACUGGGGAAUGUGGCUCCUCUCGGGGAGUGUUUAUAGACCGAGCCGAUUUGCGCCAGCUGGGACCGAGGCUAAGAGCGAGCUUGGGGUAUUUAUACCCCAUGACCUCAAGGAUGUGUGGCAUGUCGAUCUUAAGCGACCCG